rnacentral:rRNA from 1 species
AUGGAGGACGCUUACCUUGUGCCGGCGAUCUUGUGGCUGCUGCAAACCAUCCUCGGCACCCUCGGAAUCCGUGAGCUGGAUUCGUGGAUCCGUCAAGCCGGGCUUCAGGAUGACACCGAGAACCUCAAGUCCGAGCUCGAGGUACUCCAGGCGGUGGCCUCCGAUGCGAAGGGGAGGACGCUCCAGAGCGCGCGGCUGGAUAAAUCUCUCGCCGAUCUCAAAAGGUUUCUGUACGACGCCGACGACCUGGUCGACGAGCUCGACUACUGGAGGCUGCGGCACCAAGUCGAAGGAGUCGCCAACACGGUUUCUAUUUCCCAAGACCCGCUGCCAUCUUCGUCCAAUGCGUACAAUCGCCACGCCUCUGACGGUGUUACCCAGCCUUGCACCGCAGCCGCAACGACUACUGCCGUUACUUUGCAGGAGCCCGAAGGCAUGCAUGAAGCAGCGCGAGUAGAUCAUGGCACAUCGAUGGACGAUGGUGAUAAUAUACUGCCGAGAAGAGGUCGUGGCAAAAAAAGGUCCCCACAUUGGGUUGAUUUUGAGGAAAUAUAUGACACUGAUGGAAAAACCGUGGGGGCAGAAUGUAGACACUGUAAAAAGAAACUUAAAUACGACGGUAAACAAGGGCCAAGAGUCUUGAUGACUCACUCCAAUAGUGCCAAGUGUAAGAAUACGCGAGGAGCACGUCCCCAGCCGCCAAGCCAUUCAAGCAUAGAUGCUGCUGCUGAAAAUGCCACCCCCGUUGCUGUCAUUAAUUCUUCCAGCAUACCAAUAAUAGGAACGAAUCAAGAGCCAACACAAAUUACCUCAGCUAUUGCUCACCCUUGGAAUAAGGACGAAUUUUCCAGCAGGAUGCAGGAAAUAACACGUCAGUUGCAUGACAUCCGAGAGGAUGUGACAAUGAAUAUAAACAUGCUCGGGUUAUACUCUGGUGCAAGUUCAGUUCUCCAUCAAAGUACAGCCUCAGAUCCAUGCCGAAGAACAUCAAGUCUUCUUCAAGGCAAAGUGUAUGGGAGAGACAAAGAGAAGAACACAAUCAUAAAGGUGAUGACUGCUGGGAAAUCUGACAGUGUGACUGUCGUGCCUAUUGUAGGCAUUGGAGGUGCUGGGAAGACAGCUCUCGCACAAUUUGUAUAUAAUGAUCCGAAAGUGCAAAACCAAUUUGACCACAGCACAUGGGUCUGGGUGUCUAACAGCUUUGAUGAAAUGAGAAUCACAAGAGAGAUGUUAGAUAUUGUCCCUCGAGAAAAGCACAAAGGGUUAUGCAGCCUUGACAGACUUCAGCUGGUCUUGAAAACUCAUAUUGAAUCAAAGAGGGUUCUGGUUAUUUUAGAUGAUGUCUGGGAUGACCUGAAUGAUUGCAGAUUUAACCUAAUACUUGCUCCUUUCAAGUCAAACAAUGCAAAUGGCAGUGUGAUCCUUGUGACGACUAGAUAUCUCUCUGUUGCAGAAAGGAUAGGAACGACUGAACCAGUUGUGUUAGGUGCUCUGGAAGAUGACGAUUUAUGGUUAUUGUUCAAAGAACGAGCAUUUGGUGAUGAGAACUACGAAGGGCAUGGAAAUCUAACAAACAUUGGACGAAUAAUAGCAUGCGAGCUAAAAGGCAACCCAUUAGCAGCAGUAACUGCAGGGCAACUAUUAAGAGUUGAUCUUACUGUUGAUCAUUGGAUUAAUAUUCUCAAGGACGAAGACUGGAAAUUGGUGGGGCUCAGUGGAGGCAUCAUGGCUGCUUUGAAACUUAGCUAUGAUCAGUUGCCGUACCAUCUACACCAAUGUUUCUCAUAUUGUUCUAUAUUCCCUGACAGUUAUUGGUUUCUUGGCGAGGAGUUGGUCCGUAUUUGGAUUUCACAAGGAUUUGUCAAACAGAGCCACCAUCCAAGUAAGAAAUUAGAGGAGAUAGGAAUGGACUAUCUGGCUGAUUUGGUGAACCUGGGAUAUUUUCAGCAAGUUCAAAAAGACUCCUUUCUAGUCAGUCAAAAUUCAUAUGUUGUGUCUGGUCUUAUGUAUGAUUUUGCAAAGAUGGCUUCAAGAGCUGACUGCGCAAUUAUAGAUGGUCUACAAUGCAAUGAUAUAUUGCCAACUGUACAGCAUUUGAUAAUGGUAUACAACAAAUAUCAGCAGCAUGGAAACGUGUCUUGGAGUAACAACUUUAAAGAACAUUUGCGAAAUACAGUUACAUCCGUGAGAAAACUGAGGACAUUACUGUUAAUUGGGCAAUAUGACUGUUCCUUCUUCCAAUCCUUCAAAGGCAUAUUCCAAAAGGCACAUGAUAUACGUCUGCUACAGAUAUCUGCAACAUUUCAAGAAGAAAAAACAUAUAAAGAUUUUAAUUCGCUCAUGCACAGUUCUGUAAAUCCUACUCAUCUUCGCUACCUAAAACUAACGGCCAAGGAGCUGCAAGGAGAUUUGCCUCAGUUUUUGAGCAAUUUUUGCCACCUUCAAGUAUUAGAUGUUGGCUCAAAUUACCUUAAUGUACCUCAUAGCAUGAAUAAUCUUGUCAGUUUGCGCCAUCUUGUGGCAGUUUCCAUUGCUAGAAUUGGCAAGUUGGCCUCACUUCAGACACUAAACAAUUUCAGCGUAGAUGAUUCUGAUGGCUUUCGGAUUAUAGAACUUCAAUCCAUGAACGAUCUUGCCCAGCUUAGGAUUUCUCAACUUCAAAAUGUUAAAACUCGGGAGGAGGCUUGUGGGGCAGGACUGAGAUAUAAACGACACUUGGAAAAGCUGCACUUGUCCUGGAAUAUGUCAGAUGUUGAAUCUGACUCGGAUGGCAGCAAUGAAUCUGACUCGGAUGACAACAAUGAAUCUGACUCGGAUGACAGCAAUGAAUGCGAGAAUGUCAUGAGCUCUGAACCUUCUACCGGCAUAGAAACAGAGGAGUGCUUGCCAACAGAGGUGCAUAUGGGUCUUGCAAGUUCUACCAGCAUCGUGGAAAUGGAGGAACGCUUGCUAACACAGAUGAAUGAGGUUCUUGAACCUUCUACCAGCAUAGAAAAUGAGGGGUGCUCUCCGGCAGAGGUGCUUGAGGGUCUUAGACCAUACAACAACCUAAAGCAUCUUGAGAUAUCUGGAUAUAAUGGUGUUACCUCUCCUUCUUGGCUUGCUAGCAAUACCUCUUUACAGACUCUGUAUUUGGAUAGCUGUAGAAAAUGGCGGAUACUUCCAUCUCUGCAAAGGCUUCCGCUUCUUAGAAAAUUGAAGUUAAGAGGUAUGCCAAGAUUAGUAAAAAUAUCAGUUCCUUCAUUAGAGGAGCUGCUGUUAAUUGAAAUGCCAAAGUUGGAGACAUGCUCCUGCACUUCUAUGAGGGAGUUGAACUCUUGUUUAAGGGUUCUGAAAAUUAAGAAUUGCACUGUACUGAAGGAGUUUGAUCUGUUUGGGAACAGCCAUGAAUUUAAAAUUGAGCUGAAGUCAUGGUUGCCACGUAUUUGGGAACUCAUUAUCCACAACUGUCCUCUUUUGCUGGUAUCACACCCUUUACCAUCUUCAAGUACUGUUUCUAGGAUUUCCAUGAGCGGAAUUCCAAAAUUUCCAAGAAUAGAUUCACGGUCCUGCGGAAGUUUAACCAUCGGCGAGGAUCCUGAGAUGUCUGAUUCUGAUGAUGAAUAUGGUUCUGGUGAGGAUCGUUUUGACAAGUUCUCUGAUAAUCUAUCAGUGUUAGAUGGAAAUAUUUUGGCAUUCCAUAAUCCAAGGUUCCUGACAAAGUUGACAAUAAGUCGUUGCCGAAAUCUAAUGUAUAUUUCAUUCAAAGGAUUAAGUCAACUUGUAUCCUUAAAGAGACUGGAAAUAGUGGACUGUCCAGAACCUUUUGGUUUCAAUGUUCCACCAGACCAUACCCAUGAAGAUUUAUUUGAAGCUGAUACCCAUGAAGAUUUGACAGCUGCAAAUUGGAAUGCCCUCCCAUCUCUUGAAUAUUUAGAGAUUUUUUCAUGUGGAAUAACGUGGCAGUGGCUAUCUGUGAUUCUACAACAUGCGCCAGCACUAACGGAAUUGAAUUUAAAGAACUGCCCAGAACUGGAAUCUCUACAACUGAACUCCUGCACGACACUGCAAAAGUUGAGGGUAUAUAACUGUGAAUCGCUCGGCACACUAGAGGUCUUGCAAUCCCGUUCCCUCAGGGAUAUGGAAGUAUAUCAUGUCCCAAAAUUGAAAUCCCUACAGCUGCACUCUUGCACGGCAAUGGAAGAGUUGGUCAUCCGUGGAGCUGCAGUCUGCAUGCUAAGGGGCUCGCAAUCACUCAGGCAGUUGCGACUCCAUGCAAGCCAGUAUUUGGAAUCUCUACACCUGUGCUCCUGCACGGCACUGCAAGAGUUGGAUAUUUGGAGGUGUGCAUCACUCUCUACACUAGUGGGCUUUCAAUCCCUUGGCAGCCUCAGGCGUUUGAUUCUACAUGAUUGCUGUGGCUUGCAUUCAUGUUUGGAGGGUUUGCCAGAGCAGGACUACGAAUUAUGCCCUCGACUGGAAUUUCUUGAAAUCAGUGAUUUCUCUUUCCUUGCCACAUCGUUCUGCAAGCAACUCACAUCACUCCAGCGGCUAGUUAUUAGUGGUUUUGCAGAAAAAACAACAGCAGAAGGACUGACAGAUGAGGAAGAGAGAGGGCUUCUGCUCCUCGGUUCCCUCACAGAGCUCCAAUUUGCAUAUUACAGGCCUCUCAAAUAUCUUCCUGCAGGCCUGUACAGACUUCGCUCCCUCCAGGUGUUGGAUAUUUCAUUUUGUCCGAGCAUCUCAGGAUUGCCGGACCUCCCGCCUUUUCUAGAGGAGUUGAAAGUCUUCCGGGGCAGUGAGGAGCUGAAACGUCAAUCCAAAUCGCUAGUGUCAAGCAAGUUAAAGGUCAAAAUUGACGACCAAUAUGUGAGCUGA